GAAAUACUUUGUCUUUCAACAGUUUUAUAAGACCAAAACCACAAAAACCUCACGUACAAAUGUGGGGAUGAAAGAUUCUUUGACCAGCUGCCUUCUCUCCUGACACAACCAGACCUCAGCAAAAGGAAAGAACAAUCCGUAGGAGAUGGACUGUAGCAAAUUAAGGAAGACACCCCCACAAGGUUGUCAAGGAAACUAAACCAACCUCUUCCUUGCUGACCCAGCUGGAGCUCUGCCCCAUCUCUGAAGCUCUCCCUCAGCUUCCAGAAAGAGUCGCCGCACUCUCUUUUGGACUCUGAGAGCCUCCUACAUCCAUCCACGUGUUCGCUUAUCUGAUGGCAUCACAACGGUUGCGCUUCCAUCGCCCCUGGUACACCAGUCUGAGAGUAGAAUUAUGUCUCCGAUAAUUUUAUGUCUUUGGGUUAUCAGGCACUCCUGACAUUUUGUGGCCACUCAGUGAAAGGUUCUUAAAUAAAUGGAAGUCAUCAGCAGUUGUUAAGCCUCUCAAUUACACAUUUGUUUUUACUUGCUUUCUUAUCAUCAAAAGCAAAUAAAAGCGAACCUU